rnacentral:rRNA from 1 species
GAACGAUGAUCCGGUGCUUGCACCGGGGAUUAGUGGCGAACGGGUGAGUAACACGUGAGUAACCUGCCCUUAACUCUGGGAUAAGCCUGGGAAACUGGGUCUAAUACCGGAUAUGACUCCUCAUCGCAUGGUGGGGGGUGGAAAGCUUUUUGUGGUUUUGGAUGGACUCGCGGCCUAUCAGCUUGUUGGUGAGGUAAUGGCUCACCAAGGCGACGACGGGUAGCCGGCCUGAGAGGGUGACCGGCCACACUGGGACUGAGACACGGCCCAGACUCCUACGGGAGGCAGCAGUGGGGAAUAUUGCACAAUGGGCGCAAGCCUGAUGCAGCGACGCCGCGUGAGGGAUGACGGCCUUCGGGUUGUAAACCUCUUUCAGUAGGGAAGAAGCGAAAGUGACGGUACCUGCAGAAGAAGCGCCGGCUAACUACGUGCCAGCAGCCGCGGUAAUACGUAGGGCGCAAGCGUUAUCCGGAAUUAUUGGGCGUAAAGAGCUCGUAGGCGGUUUGUCGCGUCUGCCGUGAAAGUCCGGGGCUCAACUCCGGAUCUGCGGUGGGUACGGGCAGACUAGAGUGAUGUAGGGGAGACUGGAAUUCCUGGUGUAGCGGUGAAAUGCGCAGAUAUCAGGAGGAACACCGAUGGCGAAGGCAGGUCUCUGGGCAUUAACUGACGCUGAGGAGCGAAAGCAUGGGGAGCGAACAGGAUUAGAUACCCUGGUAGUCCAUGCCGUAAACGUUGGGCACUAGGUGUGGGGGACAUUCCACGUUUUCCG